GAUGAACGCUGGCGGCGUGCUUAACACAUGCAAGUCGAACGAAGCACUUUUACAGAUUUCUUCGGAAUGAAGUUUUAGUGACUGAGUGGCGGACGGGUGAGUAACGCGUGGGUAACCUGCCUCACACAGGGGGAUAACAGUUGGAAACGGCUGCUAAUACCGCAUAAGCGCACAGUACCGCAUGGUACAGUGUGAAAAACUCCGGUGGUGUGAGAUGGACCCGCGUCUGAUUAGCUAGUUGGCAGGGCAACGGCCUACCAAGGCGACGAUCAGUAGCCGACCUGAGAGGGUGACCGGCCACAUUGGGACUGAGACACGGCCCAAACUCCUACGGGAGGCAGCAGUGGGGAAUAUUGCACAAUGGGGGAAACCCUGAUGCAGCGACGCCGCGUGAGCGAAGAAGUAUUUCGGUAUGUAAAGCUCUAUCAGCAGGGAAGAAGAAAUGACGGUACCUGACUAAGAAGCAC
rnacentral:rRNA from 1 species